GGUGGUGCAUGGUUGUUGUCAGCUCGUGUCGUGAGAUGUUGGGUUAAGUCCCGCAACGAGCGCAACCCUUAAGCUUAGUUGCCAUCAUUAAGUUGGGCACUCUAGGUUGACUGCCGGUGACAAACCGGAGGAAGGUGGGGAUGACGUCAAAUCAUCAUGCCCCUUAUGAUUUGGGCUACACACGUGCUACAAUGGACAAUACAAAGGGCAGCUAAACCGCGAGGUCAUGCAAAUCCCAUAAAGUUGUUCUCAGUUCGGAUUGUAGUCUGCAACUCGACUACAUGAAGCUGGAAUCGCUAGUAAUCGUAGAUCAGCAUGCUACGGUGAAUACGUUCCCGGGUCUUGUACACAC
rnacentral:rRNA from 1 species